rnacentral:rRNA from 1 species
CCGGUCUGAACUCAGAUCACGUAAGCACUCACUUGGGCGAACAGACCAAUUCUUAUAAAUUUUUCUCUAUAAGUUAUUCUUAAUCCAACAUCGAGGUCGCAAUGUAUUUUGUGAAUAAGAUCUUCUCAAAAAUUUUGCGCUGUUAUCCCUUAGGUAACUUGUUUUAGUUCAUACGUGGAUAAUUUAAUUUGAAGUAUAUCAUCUUAUUAUAUUUAAAGAUUUAUUUAUUUAAAAAUCUCCCCAAUUUAACAAGACAAUCCAGUUAAGAUGAUGAGGCUUGUAAAGUUCUAAAGGGUCUUCUUGUCUUUUGUUUUAAUUUAAGAUUUUUCACUUAAAUACUAAUUUUUACUUUUUUAGAUUAAAAAGUUUGUUUUUCAUUGUUUCCUUCAUUCAAGCUUUCAAUUAUAAAGCAAUUUAUUAUGCUACCUUAGUACAGUUAAUUUACUGCAGCUAUUUAAGUUUAUCAUUGAGCAGAAUUUAUUUAA